GGACGAACGCUGGCGGCGUGCCUAACACAUGCAAGUCGAACGGAGUGAAGCCCUUCGGGACUUUACUUAGUGGCGAACGGGUGAGUAACGCGUGAGGAACCUGCCUUUCAGUGGGGGACAACAGUUGGAAACGACUGCUAAUACCGCAUGAUACUUUUUGGAGGCAUCUCUGGAAAGUCAAAGAUUUAUUGCUGAAAGAUGGUCUCGCGUCUGAUUAGCUAGUUGGUGGGGUAAUGGCCUACCAAGUCGACGAUCAGUAGCCGGACUGAGAGGUUGAACGGCCACAUUGGGACUGAGACACGGCCCAGACUCCUACGGGAGGCAGCAGUGGGGAAUAUUGCACAAUGGGCGCAAGCCUGAUGCAGCAACGCCGCGUGGAGGAAGACGGUUUUCGGAUUGUAAACUCCUGUUCUUAGUGAAGAAUAAUGACGGUAGCUAAGGAGCAAGCCACGGCUAACUACGUG
rnacentral:rRNA from 1 species